rnacentral:rRNA from 1 species
UACGUAGGGUGCAAGCGUUUGUCCGGAAUUAUUGGGCGUAAAGAGCUCGUAGGCGGUUUGUCGCGUCUGCUGUGAAAACCCCGAGGCUCAACCUCGGGCCUGCAGUGGGUACGGGGCAGACUAGGGGUGCGGUAGGGGGAGAUUGGAAUUCCUGGUGUAGCGGUGGAAUGCGCAGAUAUCAGGAGGAACACCAAUGGCGAAGGCAGAUCUCUGGGCCGUAACUGACGCUGAGGAGCGAAAGCAUGGGGAGCGAACAGG